rnacentral:misc_RNA from 1 species
GCAGGAUUCUUUGGGUCAGCAAGAUUCCUGGAAGGAACUUUUUGAUGUUGUAAUUGCUAAAGCAAACAAGCCAGAGUUUUACAAAUCUGACCAUCCAUUUCGCUGCUAUGAUGUGGAGAAGGACACGUUGGCUUUUACAAAAGUUGAUGCUUUCUUGCCCGGUAAAAUUUACUACCAUGGAUGCCUUAAAGCAUUCUUGCAGAUUACAAAGUGGAAAGGUCCAGAGGUGAUAUAUUUUGGGGAUCACCUCUUUAGUGAUCUCAGAGGUCCUUCAAAAGCGGGUUGGCGGACUGCUGCCAUCAUCCAUGAAUUGAAGAGUGAGAUCAUGAUUCAGAAUGAUAAUUCUUACAGAUUUGAACAGGCGAAGUUUCACAUAAUGCAAGAACUUCUUGGUAGGCUUCAUGCCACCGCAACUAGUAGUAUGACAAGUGAAGCAUAUAAGUCUCUCCUUAGGGAGCUCAAUGACGAGAGACAAAAGACUCGCUACAAAAUGAAGGGAAUGUUCAAUAAAUCGUUUGGAGCUACGUUCCUCACUGAUACUGGUCAGGAAUCUGCUUUUGCUUACCACAUUCAUCAAUAUGCAGAUAUCUAUACUAGUAAGCCCGAGAACUUUUUGUACUACCCACCUGAGGCUUGGCUUCAUGUGCCCUAUGAUAUAAAAAUCAUGCCACACCAUCUAAAGGUUUCAUCAAAUUUGUUCAGGACAUGACUACAUCAAUCAUAUUGCCAAUGCCCAAAGAGAUCUUAAAUCAAUAUACUAAACUUUUACGAUGCCCUGGAUAUCUCCAACGACCCCAUUCUCCGGAAGAAAUCACUCAAAUUUUUGGUAGAUUCAUCGGUAUUCUAGACUAUAGUGUUCUGAUAAAAUUGGAACGAUAUAGAAAAAAUUAGCGUUUUGGGUGAUUAUAGUACAUGCCCUUAUUCAUUAUGGUAGGUAUAGUUAUUGUCUUUAUGGAGGGAAAGAUAAGUUUAAAAGGUGCAGACAUGUAGAUGAUUAAUAUUCAAUUAUUUUUGCAAGUAGU